UACGUAGGUGGCAAGCGUUAUCCGGAAUUAUUGGGCGUAAAGAGCGCGCAGGUGGUUGAUUAAGUCUGAUGUGAAAGCCCACGGCUUAACCGUGGAGGGUCAUUGGAAACUGGUCGACUUGAGUGCAGAAGAGGGAAGUGGAAUUCCAUGUGUAGCGGUGAAAUGCGUAGAGAUAUGGAGGAACACCAGUGGCGAAGGCGGUUUCCUGGUCUGUAACUGACACUGAGGCGCGAAAGCGUGGGGAGCAAACAGGAUUAGAUACCCCUGUA
rnacentral:rRNA from 1 species